GAUGAACGCUGGCGGCGUGCCUAAUACAUGCAAGUCGAGCGAACAGACGAGGAGCUUGCUCCUCUGACGUUAGCGGCGGACGGGUGAGUAACACGUGUAUAACCUACCUAUAAGACUGGGAUAACUUCGGGAAACCGGAGCUAAUACCGUAUAAUAUAUUGAACCGCAUUGUUCAAUAGUGAAAUACGGUUUUGCUGUCACUUAUAGAUGGAUCCGCGCCGCAUUAGCUAGUUGGUAAGGUAACGGCUUACCAAGGCAACGAUGCGUAGCCGACGUGAGAGGGUGAUCGGCCACACUGGAACGGAGACACGGUCAAGACUCCUACGGGAGGCAGCAGUAGGGAAUGUUCCGCAAUGGGCGAAAGCUUGACGGAGCAACGCCGCGUGAGUGAUGAAGGUCUUCGGAUCGUAAAACUCUGUUAUUAGGGAAGAACAAAUGUGUAAGUAAAUAUGCACGUAUUGACGGUACCUAAUAAGAAAGCCACGGCUAACUACGUG
rnacentral:rRNA from 1 species